GAGGCUUAACACAUGCAAGUCGAGGGGCAGCAUGGUCUUAGCUUGCUAAGACUGAUGGCGACCGGCGCACGGGUGAGUAACACGUAUCCAACCUGCCGUCUACUCUUGGACAGCCUUCUGAAAGGAAGAUUAAUACAAGAUGGCAUCAUGAGUCCACAUGUUCACAUGAUUAAAGGUAUUCCGGUAGACGAUGGGGAUGCGUUCCAUUAGAUAGUAGGCGGGGUAACGGCCCACCUAGUCUUCGAUGGAUAGGGGUUCUGAGAGGAAGGUCCCCCACAUUGGAACUGAGACACGGUCCAAACUCCUACGGGAGGCAGCAGUGAGGAAUAUUGGUCAAUGGGCGAGAGCCUGAACCAGCCAAGUAGCGUGAAGGAUGACUGCCCUAUGGGUUGUAAACUUCUUUUAUAAAGGAAUAAAGUCGGGUAUGCAUACCCGUUUGCAUGUACUUUAUGAAUAAGGAUCGGCUAACUCCGUGCCAGCAGCCGCGGUAAUACGGAGGAUCCGAGCGUUAUCCGGAUUUAUUGGGUUUAAAGGGAGCGUAGAUGGAUGUUUAAGUCAGUUGUGAAAGUUUGCGGCUCAACCGUAAAAUUGCAGUUGAUACUGGAUAUCUUGAGUGCAGUUGAGGCAGGCGGAGUUCGUGGUGUAGCGGUGAAAUGCUUAGAUAUCACGAAGAACUCCGAUUGCGAAGGCAGCCUGCUAGGCUGCAACUGACAUUGAGGCUCGAAAGUGUGGGUAUCAAACAGGAUUAGAUACCCUGGUAGUCCACACGGUAAACGAUGAAUACUCGCUGUUUGCGAUAUACAGCAAGCGGCCAAGCGAAAGCGUUAAGUAUUCCACCUGGGGAGUACGCCGGCAACGGUGAAACUCAAAGGAAUUGACGGGGGCCCGCACAAGCGGAGGAACAUGUGGUUUAAUUCGAUGAUACGCGAGGAACCUUACCCGGGCUUAAAUUGCAGAUGAAUUACGGUGAAAGCCGUAAGCCGCAAGGCAUCUGUGAAGGUGCUGCAUGGUUGUCGUCAGCUCGUGCCGUGAGGUGUCGGCUUAAGUGCCAUAACGAGCGCAACCCUUGUUGUCAGUUACUAACAGGUCCUGCUGAGGACUCUGACAAGACUGCCAUCGUAAGAUGUGAGGAAGGUGGGGAUGACGUCAAAUCAGCACGGCCCUUACGUCCGGGGCUACACACGUGUUACAAUGGGGGGUACAGAGGGCCGCUACCACGCGAGUGGAUGCCAAUCCCCAAAACCUCUCUCAGUUCGGACUGGAGUCUGCAACCCGACUCCACGAAGCUGGAUUCGCUAGUAAUCGCGCAUCAGCCACGGCGCGGUGAAUACGUUCCCGGGCCUUGUACACACCGCCCGUCAAGCCAUGGGAGCCGGGGGUACCUGAAGUGCGUAACCGCGAGGAGCGCCCUAGGGUAAAACUGGUGACUGGGGCUAAG
rnacentral:rRNA from 1 species